rnacentral:rRNA from 1 species
AACGAACGUUAGCGGCGCGCCUAACACAUGCAAGUCGCACGGGAAAGGGCUUCGGCCCCGGUAAAGUGGCGCACGGGUGAGUAACACGUGGGUAAUCUUCCCUCGAGCGGGGGAUAACAUUCCGAAAGGAGUUCUAAUACCGCAUAAGACCACGACCUCGAAAGAGGUUGAGGUCAAAGCCGGCCUCUAUACAUAAGCUGGCACUUGAGGACGAGCACGCGGCCCAUCAUCUAGUUGGCAGGGUAAUGGCCUACCAAGGCGAAGACGGGUAGCUGGUCUGGGAGGAUGAUCAGCCACACUGGAACUGAGACACGGUCCAGACUCCUACGGGAGGCAGCAGUGGGGAAUCUUGCGCAAUGGGCGAAAGCCUGACGCAGCGACGCCGCGUGAGUGAUGAAGGCCUUCGGGUUGUAAAGCUCUGUGGGGAGAGACGAAUAAGUGUUGGCUAAUAUCCAGCAUGAUGACGGUAUCUCCUUAGCAAGCACCGGCUAACUCUGUGCCAGCCGCCGCGGUAACAC